rnacentral:rRNA from 1 species
GACGAACGCUGGCGGCGUGCUUAACACAUGCAAGUCGAGCGGUAAGGCCCUUUCGGGGGUACGACGAGCGGCGAACGGGUGAGUAACACGUGGGUGACCUGCCUCUAGCUCUGGGAUAAGCCUGGGAAACUGGGUCUAAUACCGGAUAUGACUCCAUGACGCAUGUUGUGGGGUGGAAAGCCUUGUGCGGCUGAGGAUGGGCCCGCGGCCUAUCAGCUUGUUGGUGGGGGAUGGCCUACCAAGGCGACGACGGGUAGCCGGCCUGAGAGGGCGACCGGCCACACUGGGACUGAGACACGGCCCAGACUCCUACGGGAGGCAGCAGUGGGGAAUCUUGCGCAAUGGCCUAACGGCUGACGCAGCGACGCCGCGUGUGGGAUGAAGCUCUCGGAGUGUAAACCACUGUUGCCCGGGACGAAUAGCUCGAUUAAUCGAGCCUGACGGUACCGGGUGAGGAAGCACCGGCUAACUCCGUGCCAGCCGCCGCAGUAAG